GUGGGGAAUCUUAGACAAUGGGCGCAAGCCUGAUCUAGCCAUGCCGCGUGAGCGAUGAAGGCCUUAGGGUUGUAAAGCUCUUUCAGUGGGGAAGAUAAUGACUGUACCCACAGAAGAAGCCCCGGCUAACUCCGUGCCAGCAGCCGCGGUAAUACGGAGGGGGCUAGCGUUGUUCGGAAUUACUGGGCGUAAAGCGCACGUAGGCGGACUGGAAAGUCAGGGGUGAAAUCCCGGGGCUCAACCCCGGAACUGCCUUUGAAACUCCCAGUCUUGAGGUCGAGAGAGGUGAGUGGAAUUCCGAGUGUAGAGGUGAAAUUCGUAGAUAUUCGGAGGAACACCAGUGGCGAAGGCGGCUCACUGGCUCGAUACUGACGCUGAGGUGCGAAAGCGUGGGGAGCAAACAGGAUUAGAUACCCGGGUAGUCC
rnacentral:rRNA from 1 species